AUUCGAAAUGUUGAUGCUUAUAUUCCUACUAUUCCCGCUGAUUCUUUUUGUUGUGCGUAAAUUCUACCUGAACAAAUUCAAAUCCGGUAAUAAUGUUUGCGUGUUGGUACUUGGUGACAUUGGCAGAAGUCCGCGAAUGCAAUAUCAUGCGAUUUCCUUCGCCCGAGAAGGUUUCACUGUGGAUGUUAUAGGUUAUCCCGGCUCAUCACCGAUUAGGGAGAUCAGUGAAAAUGCGCGCAUACAGAUUCACUAUCUGCGACUGCCUCCUGAGUUACGAAAUAAAUUGCCACGUUUUUUUUGUUACAUAAUAAAAGUGAUAUGGCAAACGGCUGAUCUUUUAUGGUUAUUGCUUCGUAAACGCCUAUCAGAUUCAGUAAUAACACAGAAUCCACCUGCAAUACCAACCAUUCCAAUAUGCUGGUUUUAUUGUGUUCUAACAGAGGCACAAUUUACUAUUGAUUGGCAUAAUUAUGCCCAUUCAAUCAUGGCAUUGAGUUUAGGAGAAAACCAUAUCUUAGUUAGAUUAUCAAAAAAUAUCGAGAUAAUCUUUGGUUGCAGAGCAAAGAAUAAUUUCUGUGUCAGCAAAGCAAUGAAGGAAGAUUUGGAAAAGAAAUGGACUAUCCAAGCAAAGGUUUUAUAUGAUAGACCAACAGAUAAAUUUCAUCCAAUAACUUUAACAGAGAAGAAUGAGUUUUUGCAAAAAUUAGCUGAAACAUAUGAUAUAUAUAUACUGCCCAGAUCUGGUUUUAUUAUAUCCAGUACUAGUUGGACUGAAGAUGAAGAUUUCUCAAUUUUGCUAAAUGCAUUACAAGAAUAUGAGAACACGUGUGAAAAUGGCAAGUUAAACUUACCAGAUUUGGUUUGCGUAAUAACAGGUAAAGGACCAUUAAAGGAUUUUUAUAUGGCAAUCAUUGAUUUAAAAAAAUGGAAACAUGUUGAAAUAAAGACACCAUGGCUCAAGAAUGAGGAAUAUCCCAAAAUAUUAGCUAGUGCAGACUUAGGUGUGUGUCUUCACACUUCAUCCAGUGGACUGGAUUUACCAAUGAAAGUUGUCGACAUGUUUGGCUGUCGUUUACCAGUUUGCGCAUACAAUUUUAAUUGCUUGUCAGAAUUGGUAAAACACAAUGAGAAUAGUUUGGUAUUUGCUGACGAAAAAGAGCUGGCUGAACAAUUGAAGAUGUGGUUUCAAGAUUUUCCCAAUAACAAGACCCAACAACAAUUACGUGAAAAGUUUCAAGAGAACAUGUUUACAUCUCAGCAGAAUUGUAAUGAUUGGCACAGUAACUGGAAGUUAAAUGUAUUGCCUUAUUUUCAAAAGUGAUUUUGAUUAUAUUGUUCCAUUGUAUUUUCAUAAACUGGGAGUGACAUUUAUUAUAUUAAUAUUUUCUCAGAGAAGUAAGAAGAUCCAAUCUUGAUCGCAACAACACUUAUACCAGUAGAUAAACAACAUGCUUGACCAAGUUGCUUUUUCUUACAUAUAUAAAUGUAAGGUAUUUCUUUUGUCUCUGCUAAUUUUGUCAAAGGUGUGAGAAAAUCCAAUGGUUCCAUCAAAUGCGUUGCAUUUUCGGCAAGUACGAUAAAUUCCACUACAUUUUGUUUCAUCGAGCUUAUCACAUCCAUCAGUCCGAUGAAUAACAUACUUCUCUCCGCAUAAUACAUUUGUCGAAUCAAUGUUAGUAAUUCAUUACAUAAUUUUUUUGUUACAGUAAGGUCAGCAAUACACUUACAUUCUUCAGACUAUGUAAAAAUAAGUAAGAAUUAGUGUAAACACUUAAACUGUAAGCACAGAAGCAUUAUUUUUGUUU